UACAGAGGUCCCGAGCGUUAGGCGGAAUCACUGGGCUUAAAGCGUGUGUAGGCGGGUCCGCAAGGGCCUUGUGAAAUCCCACCGCUCAACGGUGGAACUGCUGGGCAUACUGCGGGUCUUGAGCCAGCUAGGGGCGACCGGAACAGACGGUGGAGCGGUGAAAUGCGUAGAUAUCAGGAAGAACACCCGUGGCGAAGGCGGCUCUCUGGGACGGUACUGACGCUGAGACGCGAAAGCGUGGGGAGCGAACAGG
rnacentral:rRNA from 1 species